ACGAACGCUGGCGGCGCGCCUCAUACAUGCAAGUCGAGCGAGAACCAGGACUUCGGUCCUGGGGACAGCGGCGAACGGGUGCGUAACACGUGAGCAACCUGCCCCGAAGACCGGGACAAGCCGGGGAAACCUGGUCUAAUACCGGAUGCCUUCAUCGAGUCGCAUGGCUUGAUGAAGAAAUGUUUUUUCGCUUCGGGAUGGGCUCGCGGUCUAUCAGCUUGUUGGUGGGGUAACGGCCUACCAAGGCGACGACGGAUAGCUGGUCUGAGAGGACGAUCAGCCACACUGGGACUGAGACACGGCCCAGACUCCUACGGGAGGCAGCAGUAGGGAAUCUUGCGCAAUGGGGGGAACCCUGACGCAGCGACGCCGCGUGCGGGAUGAAGGUCUUCGGAUUGUAAACCGCUUUCAGCAGGGACGAAAUUGACGGUACCUGCAGAAGAAGGCCCGGCCAACUACGU
rnacentral:rRNA from 1 species